rnacentral:rRNA from 1 species
UACGUAGGGAGCGAGCGUUGUCCGGAUUUAUUGGGUGUAAAGGGUGCGUAGGCGGCUAUAUAAGUCAGGCGUGUAAUUCAGAGGCUUAACCUCUGAACUGCGUUUGAAACUGUAUGGCUUGAGUGGAGGAGAGGUAAGUGGAAUUCCUAGUGUAGCGGUGAAAUGCGUAGAUAUUAGGAGGAACACCAGUGGCGAAGGCGACUUACUGGACUGUAACUGACGCUGAGUCACGAAAGCGUGGGUAGCAAACAGG